GACGAACGCUGGCGGCGUGCUUAACACAUGCAAGUCGAACGGAAAGGCCCUGCUUUUGUGGGGUGCUCGAGUGGCGAACGGGUGAGUAACACGUGAGUAACCUGCCCUUGACUUUGGGAUAACUUCAGGAAACUGGGGCUAAUACCGGAUAGGAGCUCCUGCUGCAUGGUGGGGGUUGGAAAGUUUCGGCGGUUGGGGAUGGACUCGCGGCUUAUCAGCUUGUUGGUGGGGUAGUGGCUUACCAAGGCUUUGACGGGUAGCCGGCCUGAGAGGGUGACCGGGCACAUUGGGACUGAGAUACGGGCCAGAAUCCUACGGGAGGCAGCAGGGGGGAAUAUUGCACAAUGGGCGGAAGCCUGAUGCAGCAACGCCGCGUGCGGGAUGACGGCCUUCGGGUUGUAAACCGCUUUCGCCUGUGACGAAGCGUGAGUGACGGUAAUGGGUAAAGAAGCACCGGCUAACUACGUGC
rnacentral:rRNA from 1 species